AACCUCCGCAAUGCACGAAAGUGCGACGGGGGGACCCCGAGUGCCAUCCCCUUGGGAUG
rnacentral:rRNA from 1 species